UGUCCAGUAACUCCUAUCCCUACCUCGCCGUGGUGCCGCCUGGGGUACGACUAACCGUAGCGAAGAUCGGGUAACCAACCCUUGUGGGAUCUUGGUCGUAUGCUGACAGGGAAGG
rnacentral:ribozyme from 1 species